rnacentral:rRNA from 1 species
AUUGAACGCUGGCGGCAGGCCUAACACAUGCAAGUCGAGCGAGCGUCUGACGCGUUUGUAAUGUCUGUCAAACUGCCUGAUGUAGGGGGUUAACUUCUGUAACCGGUAGCUAAUCCCCCUUCCCCUCUGAUCUGCCCAGAUGGGAUUAGCUAGUAGGUGGGGUAACGGCUCACCUAGGCGACGAUCCCUAGCUGGUCUGAGAGGUUGACCAGCCACACUGGAACUUAGACACGGUCCAGACGCCUACGGUAGGCAGAAGUGGGGAAUAUUGCACAAUGGGCGCAAGCCUGAUGCAGCAAUGCCGCGUGUGUGAAGAAGGCCUUCGGGUUGUAAAGCACUUUCAGCGGGGAGGCGGGAAACGAAGAAGAAGCACAGGCUAACUCCGUGCCAGCAGCCGCGGUAAUAG